GCAAAUAUUGACCAAGUCAUUUAAAUCAAAAUCCAUGUCAUUAGCCAUCUUUUGAACAAUGAUGAAAGUGGGGAUUAAAGCCGUGCAUAUUGUCUAUCAUAGAAUUGUAUAUCGUACAAUCAAUUCAAAGUCGAUUGAACUCCAUCCUAUAUAUUGCUUUGUAUUUUCACGAAUCGAUAAGUCAGACUAAGCAGGGCGAUGUUAAAAGGUUACGAAGAAGUUGGUUUAUUGGAAGUGCUAUUAAGUCAAUGAAUAUGUAAGGUAGGGCACGUUUAUUAAAUAAUUUUUAUAUAAUUUUUGUCUGUUAAUUGACUAAAUACGUUUUUUUCCCUCUUUUUGUUUUGAUAUCGAAAUUAAAUUUACGUUUUCUUUAUAUGUAUGACUUUAAAUGGACUUUUGUUACAAUUGAUCUUAAUAAAAGUGAAAUAUCAAAUACAUUUAUGUGAAUUUUUCCGUAUUUAUUGUAAAAAAAGUCGAUAUGUUGUAAUUUUGUAAUGAAGACAUAUACAUGUAUCAAUGAAGACACUGUGUAUUACAAUGAUUACAUGUAUUUCUUUUAUUUGAUUUUUUUAAAACAAUAUAUUUUCAAAAAAUAAUCCAUUUUAUGAGACAUUUUUUUUUAUUGAAUUCUGAUUUGCGCACCCAUGUAAUGACUUAUUUUUUUUAUGUAAAAAAAGAACACAUUUUGUAACUAGUUAGAUAGAUUAAUAAAAAGAAUGAAAUUCU
rnacentral:misc_RNA from 1 species